CAGACACGUCCCGGGCUUUUGCUGUGUCAGCCCAUCUCUGAAGAGGUAACCCUAAAAUCACUCAGAGUUCCCAGUUGCUCCGGGACACAAUCUUCACAUUGAGAUCCUGGGUUGCUGAUCAGAAUGGAAAGCUGAGCUGAGAUGAGGGACGAGGCAAUGUCACAUGCUGAUGGAUGGGAUGUACUUCAACUAGACAGCCAGCCGAGCCAGCAAGUCUCCACUGCUUCAGGCUACACCGAGUCAGAGCAAUAAUCAGGCCCACAGUGCAGACGAGCUGAGAUGUGUAAUAAAGGAAAGUAAACGGCCGCAGAAA